rnacentral:rRNA from 1 species
AGCGAACGCUGGCGGCGUGCCUAACACAUGCAAGUCGAACGUGAAAAGGGAAACCUGAGUAAAGUGGCGUACGGGUGAGUAACGCGUAGGUAAUCUACCCCAGAAUCUGGAAUAACCUGCCGAAAGGCGGGCUAAUACUGGAUAGAGCGAGGGAACUCGUAAGAGAGUUUUUCGGGAAAGGGAGCCCGCAAGGGCCUUCGUUCUGGGAUGAGCCUGCGUCUCAUUAGCUAGUUGGUAAGGUAACGGCUUACCAAGGCGAUGAUGAGUAGCUGGUCUGAGAGGAUGAUCAGCCACACUGGAAGUGAAACACGGGCCAGACGCCUACGGGAGGCAGCAGGGGGGAUUCGUGCGCAAUGGACGAAAGUCUGACGCAGAGAGGCGGCGUGAGGGAAGAAGGCCUUCGGGUUGUAAAGCUCUGUCGGAUGGGACGAACAUCUUCAUAGGGAAGAGCUAUGAGGACUGACGGUACCAUCAAAGGAAGCACCGGCUAGCUCCGUG